GACGAACGCUGGCGGCGUGCUUAACACAUGCAAGUCGAACGGAAAGGCCCCUUUGGGGGUCCUCGAGUGGCGAACGGGUGAGUAACACGUGAGUAACCUGCCCUUGACUUCGGGAUAACUUCAGGAAACUGGGGCUAAUACCGGAUAGGAAUCCUUGCUGCAUGGUGGGGGUUGGAAAGCUUCGGCGGUUUUGGAUGGACUCGCGGCUUAUCAGCUUGUUGGUGGGGUAGUGGCUUACCAAGGCUUUGACGGGUAGCCGGCCUGAGAGGGCGACCGGCCACAUUGGGACUGAGAUACGGCCCAGACUCCUACGGGAGGCAGCAGUGGGGAAUAUUGCACAAUGGGCGGAAGCCUGAUGCAGCAACGCCGCGUGCGGGAUGACGGCCUUCGGGUUGUAAACCGCUUUCAGCAGGGGCGAAGCUUGUGGUGACGGUACCUGCAGAAGAAGCACCGGCUAACUACGUGC
rnacentral:rRNA from 1 species